GACGAACGCUGGCGGCGUGCCUAACACAUGCAAGUCGAGCGAAUAAAGUUCCUUCGGGAACGGAUUUAGCGGCGGACGGGUGAGUAACACGUUGGCAACCUGCCUCAUAGAGGGGAAUAGCCUUCCGAAAGGGAGAUUAAUACCGCAUAAGAUUGUAGUAUCGCAUGGUACAGCCAUUAAAGGAGCAAUCCGCUAUGAGAUGGGCCCGCGGCGCAUUAGCUAGUUGGUGAGGUAACGGCUCACCAAGGCGACGAUGCGUAGCCGCACCUGAGAGGGUGAUCGGCCACAUUGGGACUGAGACACGGCCCAGACUCCUACGGGAGGCAGCAGUGGGGAAUAUUGCACAAUGGGGGAAACCCUGAUGCAGCAACGCCGCGUGAGUGAUGACGGCCUUCGGGUUGUAAAGCUCUGUCUUCAGGGACGAUAAUGACGGUACCUGAGGAGGAAGCCACGGCUAACUACGUGCCAGCCGCCGCAGUAA
rnacentral:rRNA from 1 species